rnacentral:rRNA from 1 species
UACGGAAGGGCAAGCGUUGUUCGGAAUCAUUGGGCGUAAAGGGCGCGUAGGUGGUUCUGUAUGUCUAUCGUGAAAGCAUACAGCUCAACUGUAUUUUGUCGGUAGAAACUGCAGGACUUGAGGCUGGGAGGGGCUGGUGGAAAUUCCCUGUGUAGCGGUGAAAUGCGUAGAUAUCGGGAGGAACACCUGUGGCGAAAGCGGACUCUCUGGACCACAACGUGACGCUGAGGCGCGAAAAGCUAGGGGAGCAA